AAUCAACGCUGGCGGCGUGCCUCAGACAUGCAAGUCGAACGAUUAAACUUCCCUUCGGGGAAGAUAUAAAGUGGCGCACGGGUGAGUAACACGUAAGUAAUCUACCCUCGAGUGGGGAAUAACGUCCGGAAACGGACGCUAAUACCGCAUAAUGCAGCGGCACCGCAAGGUGACAGUUGUUAAAGAUUUAUCGCUUGAGGAGGAGCUUGCGGCAGAUUAGCUAGUUGGUAAGGUAAUGGCUUACCAAGGCUACGAUCUGUAACCGGUCUAAGAGGACGGUCGGUCACACUGACACUGAAUAACGGGUCAGACUCCUACGGGAGGCAGCAGUCGGGAAUUUUGGGCAAUGGGCGAAAGCCUGACCCAGCAACGCCGCGUGAAGGAUGAAGUAUUUCGGUAUGUAAACUUCGAAAGAAUAGGAAGAAUUAAUGACGGUACUAUUUAUAAGGUCCGGCUAACUACGUGCCAGCAGCCGCCGUAAAAC
rnacentral:rRNA from 1 species